rnacentral:rRNA from 1 species
GACGAACGCUGGCGGCGUGCUUAACACAUGCAAGUCGAACGGAAAGGCCCUGCUUUUGUGGGGUGCUCGAGUGGCGAACGGGUGAGUAACACGUGAGUAACCUGCCCUUGACUUUGGGGUAACUUCAGGGAACUGGGGCUAAUACCGGGUAGGAGCUCCUGCUGCAUGGUGGGGGUUGGAAAGUUUCGGCGGUUGGGGAUGGACUCGCGGCUUAUCAGCUUGUUGGUGGGGUAGUGGCUUACCAAGGCUUUGACGGGUAGCCGGCCUGAGAGGGUGACCGGCCACAUUGGGACUGAGAUACGGCCCAGACUCCUACGGGAGGCAGCAGUGGGAAAUAUUGCACAAUGGGCGGAAGCCUGAUGCAGCAACGCCGCGUGCGGGAUGACGGCCUUCGGGUUGUAAACCGCUUUCGCCUGUGACGAAGCGUGAGUGACGGUAAUGGGUAAAGAAGCACCGGCUAACUACGUG